GACGAACGCUGGCGGCGUGCCUAAUACGUGCAAGUCGAGCGAUGAAGGAGAUACUUGUAUCUUUUGAAGAGCGGCGAGCGGGUGAGUAACGCGUGGGGAAUCUGCCAAUGAGUGGGGGACAACAUUUGGAAACGAAUGCUAAUACCGCAUAAAAUCUAUUGAGACAUCUCAAGAGAUUGAAAGGAACAAUUGUUUCGCUCGUUGAUGAUCCCGCGUUGUAUUAGCUAGUUGGUGAGGUAAGGGCUCACCAAGGCGAUGAUACAUAGCCGACCUGAGAGGGUGAUCGGCCACAUUGGGACUGAGACACGGCCCAAACUCCUACGGGAGGCAGCAGUAGGGAAUCUUCGGCAAUGGACGAAAGUCUGACCGAGCAACGCCGCGUGAGUGAAGAAGGUUUUCGGAUCGUAAAGCUCUGUUGUUGUUAAAGAACGUUGAUGAGAGUGGAAAGUUCAUCAAGUGACGGUAAACAACCAGAAAGGGACGGCUAACUACGUGCCAGCCGCCGCCGUAA
rnacentral:rRNA from 1 species